GAUGAAGAACGCAGCGAAAUGCGAUACUUGGUGUGAAUUGCAGAAUCCCGUGAACCAUCGAGUCUUUGAGCGCAAGUUGCGCCUCAAGCCAUUAGGUUGAGGGCACGUCUGCCUGGGCGUCACAUAUCGUUGCCUGAUGCCAGUUUCCUCGUGAUGGGUGACUGUGCAGGGCGAAUGAUGGCUUCCCGUGAGCAUUGUUGCCUCAUGGUUGGUUGAAAAUUGAGUCCUUGGUAGGGAGCGCCGUGAUAGAUGGUGGUUGAGUGACGAACGAGACCCAAUCAUGUGAGACCCCUACCGAAUUUGGCCUUCAUGACCCACAUGCGUCUUUGGAACGCUCAUGACGAGACCUCAGGUCAGGCGGGGCUACCCGCUGAGUUUAAGCAUAUCAAUAAGCGGAGGA
rnacentral:misc_RNA from 1 species